rnacentral:rRNA from 1 species
GUAGCUUGCUACNUGACCUAGCGGCGGACGGGUGAGUAAUGCUUAGGAAUCUGCCUAUUAGUGGGGGACAACAUCUCGAAAGGGAUGCUAAUACCGCAUACGUCCUACGGGAGAAAGCAGGGGACCUUCGGGCCUUGCGCUAAUAGAUGAGCCUAAGUCGGAUUAGCUAGUUGGUGGGGUAAAGGCCUACCAAGGCGACGAUCUGUAGCGGGUCUGAGAGGAUGAUCCGCCACACUGGGACUGAGACACGGCCCAGACUCCUACGGGAGGCAGCAGUGGGGAAUAUUGGACAAUGGGGGGAACCCUGAUCCAGCCAUGCCGCGUGUGUGAAGAAGGCCUUUUGGUUGUAAAGCACUUUAAGCGAGGAGGAGGCUACCGAGAUUAAUACUCUUGGAUAGUGGACGUUACUCGCAGAAUAAGCACCGGCUAACUCUGUGCCAGCAGCCGCGGUAAUACAGAGGGUGCAAGCGUUAAUCGGAUUUACUGGGCGUAAAGCGCGCGUANGUGGCCAAUUAAGUCAAAUGUGAAAUCCCCGAGCUUAACUUGGGAAUUGCAUUCGAUACUGGUUGGCUAGAGUAUGGGAGAGGAUGGUAGAAUUCCAGGUGUAGCGGUGAAAUGCGUANAGAUCUGGAGGAAUACCGAUGGCGAANGCAGCCAUCUGGCCUAAUACUGACACUGANGUGCGAAAGCAUGGGGGAGCAAACAGGAUUAGAUACCCUGGUAGUCCAUGCCGUAAACGAUGUCUACUANCCGUUGGGGGCCUUUGAGGCUUUA